ACGUAGGGGGCGAGCGUUGUCCGGAAUUACUGGGCGUAAAGGGUGCGUAGGUGGCCUUUUAAGUUGGAUGUGAAAUACCCGGGCUUAACUUGGGGGGUGCAUCUAAUACUGGAGGGCUAGAGUGCAGGAGAGGAAAGCGGAAUUCCUAGUGUGGGGGUGAAUGGGUUAGAUUUAAGGAGAACCCCCGGGGCGAAGGGGGGUUUUUGGAAUUUUACUUGCAACUGAGCACGAAAGCGUGGGGAGCAAACAG
rnacentral:rRNA from 1 species